AUUCAUCAUAUCUGCACUAUCUACUUUCCAUAGGAUUUGAAUACGUGAUAGUCCACAAUUAGGAAUUGCUCACUGCAGAAAAACCACAAUACUGAAAGUUCAAGGUACUCUUGCUUUCAGAAUCAGUUCCUUUGAGACUAACAACCCAUUCAAAGAAAAAUAAAUUACCUCUCUGUCUAGAAAAUUGUUCAUCGUCCGAAUUUCUCCAGUGUUUCUGUUGAUAAUAAACAUUGGUGAAUCAGAAGGUUCCUGUCUUAUGAUCUUGAAGGCGAUUUUUGAGUUCAAAUUAUUUGGUUCAUCUGCAUCAGUAGCAUUGAGUCUCAUCACCAGUGUGUCUAGAAAUCAAAGAAAAUUGAUUGCCAAUGGACAGUUUGCUUUUUCGUUAUAGUAUAGUAUAAUGCUUUUCCAACAAGGUGUUAGGGUUAGUUGGUCCAUAUAAUGUGCACUCUACUAUUUUCCCUUUCUACUUCUUCAACAUAUCAAUAUCUUAGCUCCUUUCUAUACCUUUGCCUUGACAAAAAGAUUACAUUUUACUUGGAACCUAGACAUUACUGAUAGUUGGAAAACAGAGAAAUGUUUUAUUCUGGCUUUCCAUUUCUUAUUCUAGUAUAAUUUUUUUUUUUAAGGCUGCUGUGGUGAAACAAAUGAUAUUAAACACAAUGAUUAAGACCAACUCUUUUCCAACUUUAGCACUUUCCAGCUAUAUGAUCUUGGCCUCAGUUUCCACUUCUAUAAAUGGGGAUGAUAAUAGUACCAUCCUCAUUGAAUUAGUAGCAAACUAAAUAGUGUAAUCAGAGAAAAUUAUAUGAAGUUCCUAUUGAAUAAUGGACAUUCAAUAAAUAUAUAUUAUUGUUCUGUUUUGCUUGGUUCCUAGUGAAGUGCUAGGUAACUAGUAGAUUUAAAGAGAUGCUUGCUUAACUACAUGCUUUGUCCUAUUCCUCAUCUUUUCCCUUAAUCUUUUAAGCAGUUUUGAUGAAGGACACUGGAGAAUGUGGAAACCUGCCAGUGUUCAUCAACUAGAAUUCUUCUCUAUACUCGAACUCGUUCAAGCACAGUUGUUCUGUCUAUAGAAACAAAUUCACCAGAGUAUCUCCCAUCUCUCUCUCUCUCUCUCUCUCUCUGUCUGUGUGUGUAUUCAUUUCAGUAUGAUUUUUUAAAUGUUUUCACUAGGCACUUCAUUAAUUAAUUUUGGUAUGUUCAUUCAGUGAAAUCUGAUGCAACCGUUAGAAGGAAUGAAGACGUCUAUAUUUCCUAGUGAGGAAAUAUGUCCAAAAUAUAUUUAAAUAAAGAUUCACGUUAUGGAUUAGUAUGUAAAAUAUGGUUCCAUUUGUUUCCAAAAACAUGUUUAUAUAUCUUUAUAUAAUUGUAGAAUAUAUGUGCCUAAGUCGCUAAUGACAGUGUUUGCUCUGAAGAAUGGUACUAGAGAAAACAAGGAACGGAUUUCUAUUCCAUUUUUACUUUCCAUAUUGUGUGAAUUUUUACAACAAACACUUUUAGAAUGGUAUUUUUAAAAGUUUAAAGUAUAGUUAUACUAUUUUAAUGAAGAGCAGUAAAAUGUAAGGAGUUUUUGAAUUUGUAAGAAAUUAUACCACUUAAAGUUUAAAAGUAACUAUGCGAAGUUGAUGUUUUGAAUUCAUAUGAGAAAUCAUCUCUGCUGUUUUUACUAUAUUUAGGAUAAUCUUCAAUGGUGUGCUAAGCAGUUAAUAUUCUGUGCCUCCCAAGUGACUGAAUAUUUGGCGGUUAAAACGUUGCCAUUUACAGUAAUCCAUAAGGAGACCAUUGCACCUGUAGGUUGUCAAAUCUAUUGCAGGCAAAUGCUCUCUCUAGUUUAUAGGUUUUCUGGUACCACUCAACUAGCACCACUUGAGACAAUCAGCUUUAAAUAUGCAUGGUAGGCCAAACAGGAUUAGGUUUAUAAUGCAUUUCAAAUACAUAAAAUCAGUGACUUGAGUAAAAAGCAAACAAAACCUAUAUUUAGUAAAUCAUAUAUAAGAAGGGGAAGCAAUUCUUAUUUUGCAUUUAUUUGCUGUCAAUGAAAGCUCUUAAAGAUUAUGGCCACAAAACAGAUUGACUGAAGUGAUUUUUACCAGUGACUUUAAAAUAGUUAAUAUUAAAAAAAAAUAAAUAAAGCAGUAUGAACAGAAGUGGAUGAGAUUGCCCUUCAGAGCAGUCAUGCUGGGAGGCUAAAUUCUCCUCCCAGGGCCCCUGCCACCUCUGUGCAAAGCACUUGUGGAAUUUCUCCUUAGGAAUCUACUCCAGAGCCGGUGUAUGAGUUACAUAAGAAAAUCCUGCUUGUUAUAUUGGACUUGCUCCUUGUGUGUGAGGGAUUAGCGCUGCUCCCACUGUUGAAGGGAAAGUCAUUAUGGAGACUUCCUCAUGCCUUUCUAUUCUGUGUGCUUUUCUAUACUCAUCUCUUACGUUUGUGAUGUAGUACCUUGAGAUAGUUUAGCCUCUAGUUACCUGGCUGUUAAGAGUGAUCUGGAAGCCAAUAUAUUCUUGUUUACUUAAUAAAAUAAAUUACUUACUUGCA